rnacentral:rRNA from 1 species
UACAGAGGGUGCGAGCGUUAAUCGGAAUUACUGGGCGUAAAGCGCACGUAGGCGGCUUUGCAAGUCGGGUGUGAAAUCCCCGGGCUCAACCUGGGAACUGCAUUCGAAACUGCACUGCUGGAGUAUGGGAGAGGGAAGCGGAAUUUCCGGUGUAGCGGUGAAAUGCGUAGAUAUCGGAAGGAACAUUAGUGGCGAAAGCGGCUUCCUAGACCAAUACUGACGCUCAUGUGCGAAAGCGUGGGGAGCAAACAGG